rnacentral:tRNA from 1 species
GCCCGCGUAGCUCAACGGAUAGAGCAGUCGCGUUCUAAGCGAUUGUGGGGGUACGCUUUUUCGCGUAGCGAAAAACUCGAGAAGUCAGAUCCCUCCGCGGGCA